AGAGUUAUUGAAGCUUUCCAAGAAAAUGAUGAAGAAGCACUCUCUGAACUCAACGACUCAGAUCUCUUGGAGGUCUGGAAAACUCCACCAGAGUCUCUUGAUGGUGAAACAGUGGAUUGCAGUACAGAGAGAAGCUGUGGCCAUGACAUGCAGAAGGUGACACUAUGUGAAGUUAAGCGGAGUGGCCUGGGUCGAGUUCACCAUGUCAGGGCCCAGCUGAAGGCCUAUGAACCCCGCAGACUGCAUGAGGCGCUCAAGCUUUACUGCAGCAAGUGUAAAUCAAUGCAGGAUGUCCCAGAUGAUGAGCUGUUGGAAAGUAUCUUCUCUGAGGCAUCAAAGGACUGUGGACCCUGCAGUCCCCCACCAUGGGC